AAUUGCUUUAUUUCUCUCUUUCAUAAUACUUUAUAUAGGGAGAAAUUUGUUGAUUUUAAUUAUAUUUGAAAAGGAGUUCGUCUCGUACCAUUUGCAAUUACCUUCAGCGAUUCCAACAGAAGAAAGAAUAGAGUUCAGGUCAAUCCUUCAUCCAUUAACUGGACCUUCUUCCUUUCUUUUUAUGUUCCAAACUAAAGUCCCUUUCUUUA
rnacentral:misc_RNA from 1 species